rnacentral:lncRNA from 1 species
GGGGAGAGGAAUGUUGAGAAGGAAGACAAGAAUGAUACGUGGCAUCGCGUGGAGCGGAGCAGUGGCAAGUUCUUGAGGAGGUUUAGGUUGCCUGAGAAUGUGAAGAUGGAUCAAGUUAAAGCUUCUAUGGAAAAUGGGGUUCUCACCGUUACUGUUCCCAAGGAGGAAUUGAAGAAGCCUGAUAUCAAGACCAUUCAGAUUUCUGGUUGAAGUUUGAGGUUCUGAACAUGAGAAAAUCCUAGCAAUGGUAAUGUUUUAAGGGAUUAUCGUGUGUUGAUUGGUGUUCGCUGUUAAUAUUGGAAGUUGUCUUAGUAGAUUAUGGAAUAACAAUGUGGGGUUUUUCGUUUUUUGGCCAGUAUUACAAUGUGGUUAAAAUGAUGUAAGAAUGUUACCUGGUAAUGAAAUAAAGAGUUGUUCUUAAUUGUGUGAUCAGCCUACCUAUCUUUUCAUUGCAAUUGACUGUUGUUUAAUGAUCUUUUUAUGGUAAUGUCCUUUCUCAAUCUGAAGUAAAGGGAAAGCACAUUGGAUCAAUGUUCAAAAACCCAGGAUAGAACUUCAAGAAAUCAAAUUACUUGCAAAUUCGUAUGUUGUUUACGUGACCAAUAAAGGAUUGUUUAUGAUUAAUUGGAAGCAACUGAAUCAGAACCAAAACUUGGCUAAUAUGGGCCAUAAGUACCUGAUUUAGAGAAUAUCUUUAAUAAUCAGGAAGUACAAGGGAUGUAUCCGAACACUGAAGAAGUUGCUUUCAGCAUUUGGUCCUCGAAAUCCGAAAGAGUACUUCCAGUUGCAAAGAUAGAUCGGAGAUUCAUAUUGUCUCUAGCAACUAUGUUGAUAAGCUGUGAAGAAGAUAGACCAUGAUCUGAAUUUUUUAUUCUUUUUCAGUUUUUAGCAUCCAAUAGGACAGAUUCAUCAAAGUAUUACUUUGUCAAAUGCCUAUAAAAGCAACAGUAAUUCAUACACAAUCCAUGGAAACAUGCCAUUGGCACAUUUUCAUAUACAUUGUGAAUGGAUUGGGACAGCAUUUAAAGUGCUUGUGACUUGCGAGACUGGUUAGGUCACUAUGAUCUCUGCUUGCAUCUGAAGCUCUGAUAAAGUAGUCAAGGAUAUCCUACAGUUGUUCCUGUAGCCCUUGCUUCAUCAAAGAAUCUCUGCAUCAAAAUGACAAGGCCUUUUUUUUUUACUCUAAAAAAGCAGUAACAUCAACUAGGAAAGAAAUCACACGUAUAAACCUUAGAUCUCCCUAUUCUAAGGCCAAUGAAAUGUGGCUCAAUUAGUGGAAGAAAAUCUAUGUAGCUUCUUCCUCUAACCCCUCUUCGUUUCCUCCAAAUUCCCUUUCAAAAAACAAACAAGUGGAACAUUUAACCCCUUCAACACUUUGGCAUAAUUUGGUUCUUCAACAUGACAUAAUUCAACAACUUAUAAAUGAAUACAUAAAUUUUCUCAUCAAAAUUCUUUGAUCAAUAACCAUACAAAUACCAACAAAACCUCACAAAGUAAUUACCUUUUGGCUUUUGAUAAAUCAAGCAAGCAAAUGUAAGACAUAGAAAAUCCAUAAUGUUCUAGGCAUGCCAGAACGUUUUCUUCACUCAAUUCAGUAGAUAGAUUUCAUAUGAGAUGGUUAAUAUGAAUCAACUAUGUUCAUGAAUGCAUUCUCCUGCACUUGAAUUUGGCAUUAUUUUCAGUUAGGCUAGGUCCAAACUAAAGAUUAAGAUUAGGCUCGCAUGUCUUUUUAUCUUAAAAGGUUUUAAGUCCAUUUCAGUUUCAUUGGGCUUCAGGUCCUCCAAUUAUCUCUGUAUAAAGCCCAUAUAUAAUAUGAAUAUUCCGGAGUGUCCUAGAAUUGAGGUGCUGGGGGUUUUGUCAUUGGCACAGGCCUCUGGAUAAUGUACUAGAAAAUGAUUUAAACCAAAAAAUAGAAUAAUCUUCUGAAUGCUAGAAUCGUCCAAAGUACUAUAAAAAAUCUUUUCAGGGUUAUCUGAAUACCCAGACAAGGAAAGCAAAGCAUAGAAAAAUUAAGACAGCUCUCUCAAUUUUCCUUACCAAAGUUUCUUGUAAUCUCGUUUUUCAUUCCUGAAAAUGUCUCUGAUUCCAAGCUUCUUUGGCCGCCGCAGCAAUGUCUUUGAUCCUUUCUCUCUUGAUGUUUGGGAUCCUUUCAAGGACUUCCCUUUCUCUUCUUCUUCACUCACCACACAAAUUCCAGAAACCUCAGCCUUUGUCAACACCCGAAUCGACUGGAAGGAAACCCCAGAGGCUCACGUGUUCAAGGCUGAUGUUCCAGGGCUUAGAAAGAAGAAGUGAAAGUUGAGGUUGAAGAUGACAGGGUGCUUCAGAUAAGCGGAGAGAGGAACGUAGAGAAGGAAGACAAGAACGACAAGUGGCAUAGCGUGGAACGUAGCAGUGGGAAGUUCAUGAGGAGGUUCAGGUUGCCUGAGAAUGCCAAGAUGGAUCAGAUCAAAGCUUCCAUGGAAAAUGGAGUGCUUACUGUGACUGUUCCAAAACCGGAAGUUAAAAAGCUUGAUGUCAAGGCUGUAGAGAUUUCUGGUUAAAAAUUGAACUCCAGUUUUUAAGCCGUCUAUCUCCUGAUGUACUACGACGUUUUUGUAUGAAGUUUGUGUGGUUCUGAGCUUUGCUACGUAGAAAAUAAAAAAAAUCUUGUUAACACUUAGCCUUCUUCCCUGUUUAUAAAAUUGUGGAUUUUGUAUGGAAUAGUUCUUCAUGAAACUUACUUUUGGACAAUAAAUAUACAAUUGCGUGUCAUAAUGUGCAUAAGCAUAAAUGAAAUAUACACGUGCAAGAACAAAAACUCAAGAGUCAAGACUAAUUCCUUGGGCUUGACGGUUUUCUGAUCUUAGUGAACUUUGCAAUCCUUGGCAGAGGCCGAAAUCACAGAGUUUGGUUUAGGAGUUUAGCAAGCUGAUACCAGACCCAGUCCUUCAAUUCAGCCUAAUUGGGGCUAAAACAUAUGCCAUUUGCCAAUGACAGCAUUUAGCUUUUGCAGGGUCAUGUGAGUCAUAUUGAUUAGAUGUAAAUAGUUAAAACUUUAAAGGAAUUUUAACCAAUAAUGGCUUGACUUUGUUAAUUUAGGUUGGUAAGAUAUAUUUUCUUAAUUCACUCAUGGAAUUGUAGAAAGAAGCCUUCUUGUCGCCUUUUCAAUCUAUAUGCUUACCAAGCUAUUGGCCAUUCCCAAACGUACUUUCCAUAUAUUGAUCACAAGUUUUCCAUCCACCCUUUGAUUCCCGAAACAUGGUUGACAUAUCAUUGCAACUCAUGCACAAUUACUUUCCAGGAUUGAGUUCCAGCCAUAAUGGCUCCAAAAACCUCGUAUGCCCUUAGGAGCCGAUACUUCCUUUUGGUGCCCCACUUCACGAUUAACCCUCCAUCUCCAAUAAUUUCAUUGAAAUCUUUAGGCAAUAAAAUGUGAACAUGGAUAAGGUGAAAGCUUCCAUUGAAAAUGGAGUUCUUACUGUUAUUGUUCCUAAGAAGGAAGUGAAGAAACCUGAUGUCAAAGCCAUCGAGAUUUCUGGUUGAAAACUUAAAGGUUUGAAUGAUAGACAUUUUCUUUGGAUUCAAUUAUAUAUUACUUCACUACAUAUUCUAACAUUGUUCUUAAAUUAGUAUUGUAAAUUUGUAAAUGUAACCGUCCUUUAGUUCUCUCUUCAAUCCUCCUUUUGGCUAAGUGAGAUGGUGUUGUUCAGGCCAAGGAAAAACCACCAAGUAGAUUCCUUUAAAAAAGUACAGAACUUGCACUGAUAAAACAUUUGCAACAAUUGUAGAGUUGUAACUAUUUUUGCGCAGUGGAAAGAAAUGCUACCAAGCUUUGAAAAGAAGUGGCACAGCUGCCAAUUGAAGUUCAGAACCAUUAUUUCUUUUUGGUACAUGGGGAAUAAAUAAAGCAUAAGGGAUUAAUUUCAUCUCUUAUAAUCAAUCUGAUGAUAUAUGCUUUACUAAAUCAUUCAAAUAAUUGCAGGAAGAACCUCCCUUUUGUAGUCAUUUUUUGUGAUGUUCUCUCAUUUCUAUAUCCGGACUAAAAAAAAUUAUUAUGUUAUAAUUUAUAUCGAUAUUUUAAAUAUAAUUUUUUUUUAUUUUUUAAAUCUCGUAUAUAAUUUUUUAAUUUAUAAUUUUAUCUUUUUAAUUAUUUUUAUAAAUAUUAUCGAUUAAUGUUUAAAAUUAAAAAAAAUGAUACAAAUACCCAACAAAGACAAUACAAUUAUAGUUAUAAACCUCGGCAAUAUGCCAGCAGAAGUGAAUGGGCUAGGCGAGGCCCAUUUGAGAGCCGAAUGAGGAAGAUAAUCCAGGUUCCUGGGGAGAACCGUGGAAGGCCCUUGAGUUUACAAGAAACUUCGAGGCCUAAAAUUGCUUGCCCGGGAAAGUACUGGAAUCUUCCUUUGCAUCGUUUAAAUACCCAACCUAUCUCUCCCACUAGAAUCAAGAAAUACAAGAAACGAAGCAAGAAAAAUACGACUCUGAUUCGCCAAAUCCCAACCAACUUAGAAGCAAUUCCAAGAAAUCGAGGAAGAAAAUGUCUCUGAUCCCAAGUUUUUUUGGCAACCGACGAGGCAACAAUUUCGAUUCCAUCUCUGUCGACGCAUAGGAUCCCUUCAAGAAUUUCUCAUCACCUUUUCCAGGAAACUCCGCCUUCGUCAGCACUUGCGUGUUGGACUGGAAAAAGAAACCCCGAAGCCAUUGUGUUCAAGCCGAUCUUCCUGGAUGAAGAAAGAGUGGAAGUGAAGUGGCAGAUCAGAUGGACAGGCUGCUUCAAUCCAGCAGAGAGAGAGUAUGAAAGGUAAGAGAGAAAAUGAUACGUACAAUACAUGGAAGACGGGACGCAAGAUGAUCAUGAGGAGGUUUAGGUUGCCUGAGAAUGUGAAAAUGGAUCAAGUUUAAAGCUUCUAUUGGAACAAUGGGGGUUCCACCGUUACUGUUCCCAAGGAGGAAUGAAGAAUCCUGAUAUCAAGACUAUUCAGGAUUUCUGGUUGAAGUUUGAGUUCUGACGUGAGGAAAUCCUAGCAAUAGUAAUGCUUUAAGGGAUUGUCGUGUGUUGAUUAGAGUUUGCUGUUAAUAUUGGAUGUCGUCCGGUUUUUUUUUUGGCAGUAUUGCAAUUGUGGUUAAAUGAAAAUGUAACAUGUUUAUCUGGUUAAUGAAAUUGAUGCAGUUGUUCUAAUUAUGUGAUCAGCCUACCUAUUUUUCAUUGCAAGUAACUGGUGUUUAUGAUCUUUUUUAUGAAUGUCCUUUCUCCAAUCUGAAGCAAAGGGAAAGCACAUUGGAUCAAGUUCGACACCCAAAUAAAGUUAACAUCAAAGUACUUGCUAAUUCCUAUGUUGUUUACAUGACCAAUAAAGGAUUUGUUAUGAUUAAUUGGAAGCAACUGAAUCAGAGCCAAAAAUUGGCUAAUGUACAUGAAUUAGAGCAUAUCUUUAAUAAUCAAGAAGUACAAGGAAUGUAUCAUAACUCUGAAGAAGUUGCUUUCAGGAUUUGGUCCUUGAAAUCCGAAAGAGAACUAUCAGUUGCAAAGAUGGCUUGGAGAUUCAUAUUGUCUCUGUCAAAUAUGUCGAUAAGCUGUGAAGAAGAUAAACCAUGAUCUUAAUUUUUCUUUUCUUCUUCAGUUUUUCAGCAUCCAAUAGGACAGAUUCAUAGUAUCAUGAUAACAUUGUCAAAUGCCAAUAAGAGCAACAGUAAUUCUUACACAAUCCAUGAAUACAUGCCAUUGGCACAUUUUCAUGUACAUUGUGAAUGGAUUUGGGCAGCAUUUAAGGUGCUUGUGAUUUGUGAGACUGGUUAGUUCACUAUGACCUCUGCUUGCAUCUGAAGCUCUGACAAAUUAGUCAAGGAUAUCCUACAGUUGUUCCUGUAGCCCUUGCUUCAUCAAAGAAUCUCUGUAUCAAAAUGACAAGGUUUUUUUUACCCCUCUAAAAUAGCAGUAACAUCAAGAAGGAAACAAGUCAUACUUAUAAACCUUAUAUCUCCCUCUUCUAAGGCCAACGAAAUGUGGCUCAACUUGAAAUGUAUUGUCUACUUUGAUUUGAAGGUAUUGCAAUUUUGUCCUAUAAAAAAUUUCUCAUAGAUUUAAAUUUAGACUUUUACAUAUAUGAAACCAUAUCCACACAUUUGUCUAAUAUAAGAUUGGAGACGUCACAAGCUUCUUCCUCUCGCCUUUCUUCGUUUCCUCCAAAUUCUCUUUCAAAAAAUAAACUAAGUGGUACUUUUAACUCCUUCAACACACAGGCAUAAGUUGGUUCUUCCACACGACAUAAUUCAACAACUUAUAAAUGAAUACAUAAAUUUUCAUUUCAAAAGAACUAUUCUUUUAUCAAUAACCAUGCAAAUACCAGCAAAACCUCACAAAGUACUUACCUUUUGAAUUUUGAUAAAUCAAGCAAGUAAAUGUAAGACAUGAAAAUCCAUAAUGUUCUAGACAUGCCGGAACGUUUUCUUCAAUCGAUUCAGUAGAUAGACUUUAAAUGAGAUAGUUAAUAUGAAUCAACUAUGUUCAUGAAUGCAUUCUCUUGUAUUUUGAAUUUGGCAAUAAUUUUAGUUAGGCUAAUCCAAAAUAAAGAUUAAGAUUAGGCUCGGAUGUCUUUUUAUCUUAAACAGAAAAAAUGUUUUAAGUCAAUUUCAGUUCUCAAUGGGCUUUAAGUCCUCCAAUUAUCUCUGCAUAAAGGCCAUAUAUAAUAUGAAUACCACGGAGUGUCCUAGAAUAGAAGUGUUUUGGUCUUGUCAUUGGCACAGGCGUGUGGAUAAUGUCCUAGAAAAAUCUUUUCAAUGCUGGAAUCCUCCACAAGCACUAUAAAAUACCAUUUCAGGGUGCUCUUAAUACCCAGACAACGAAAGCAUAGAAAAAUUUAGACAGCUCUCUUAAUUUCCUUACGACCAAAAUUUCUAGCAAUCUCGUUUUUCAUUCCUGAAAAUGUCUCUGAUUCCAAGCUUCUAUGGCCGCCGCAGCAAUGUCUUUGAUCCUUUCUCUCUUGAUAUUUGGGAUCCUUUCAAGGACUUCCCUUUCUCUUCUUCUACCACACGAACUCCAGAAACCUCAGCAUUUGUUAACACCCGAAUCGACUGGAAGGAAACCCCAGAAGCUCAUGUGUUCAAGGCUGAUGUUCCAGGGGCUUAAGAAAGAAGAAGUGAAAGUUGAGGUUGAAGAUGACAGGGUGCUUCAGGUAAGCGGAGAGAGGAACAUAGAGAAGGAAGACAAGAACGACAAGUGGCAUCGCGUGGAACGUAGCAGUGGGAAGUUCAUGAGGAGUUUCAGGUUGCCUGAGAAUGCCAAGAUGGAUCAGAUCAAAGCUUCUAUGGAAAAUGGGGUGCUUACUGUGACUGUUCGAAAAGUGGAAGUUAAAAAGCCUGAUGUCAAGGCUAUAGAGAUUUCUGGUUAAAAAAUUGAACUUGAGUUUUUGAGCCGUCUGGGACAGAUUACUCAAAAUAACUACUUCAAGAGAAAAAGAUGUUUGUGAGUUAUGAAGCGAAUGCCUUUAUCUCUGCCAGAUGAGAGUAUUGUAGCCAUUGUGUGUAAUAAAAUGUAUGCACUACUACGUUUUUGUAUGACGUUUGUGUGAUUCUGAGCUUUGCUAUGUAGAAAAUAAAAAAAAUGUUGUUAGUACUUAGCCUUCUUCCCUGUUUAUAAAAUUGUGGAUUUUGUAUGGAAUAGUUACUCAUUCAUGAAACUUACAUUUGGACAAUAAAUAUACAAUUGCAUGUCAUAAUGUGCAUAAGCAUAAAUGAAAUAUACACGUGCAGGAACAAAAACUCAAAAGUCAAGACUAAUUCCUUGGGCUUAACAGUUUUCUGAUCUUAGUGAACUUUGCAAUCCUUAUCAAGGCCAAAAUCGCAGAGUUUGGUUUAGGAGUUUAGCAAGCUGAUAGCAAAUGACAGCGCUCCCAGUUCCUUGAAUUCAGCCUAAUUGGGGCUAAAACAUAUGCCAUUUGCCAAUGACAGCAUUUAGCAUUUGCAGGGUCGUGCGAGUCAUAUUAAUUAGAUGCAGAUAGUUGAAACUUUAAAGGAAUUUUAACUAAUAAUGGCUUGACUUUAUUCAUUUAGGUUGGUAACAUACAUUUUCUUAAUUCACUAAUGGAAUUGUGGAAAGAAGCCUUCUUAUGGCCUUUUCUAUCUCUAUGCUUACCAAGCUAUUAUCCAUUUCCAAAGCUACUUUCCAUACAUGAUCACAAGUUCUGCAUCCACCCUUUGAUCCCCGAAACAUGGUUGGCAUAUCAUUGCAACUCAUGCACAUAUACUUUCCAGGAUUGAGUACCAGCUACAAAGGCUCCAAAAUCCUCCUAUGGCCUUAUGAGCCGAUACUUCCUUUUGGGGUGCCCCACUUCACAAUUAGCCCUCCAUCUCCAAUAAUCUCAUUGAAAUCUUUAGGCAAUAAUAUGUGAAGAUGGAUAAGGUGAAAGCUUACAUUGAAAAUGGAGUUCUUACUGUUAUUGUUCCUAAGAAGGAAGUGAAGAAACCUGAUGUCAAAGCCAUCGAGAUUUCUGGUUGAAAACUUAAAGGUUUGAAUGAUAUACUUUUUCUUUGGAUUCAAUUAUAUAUUAUUUCACUAUAUAUUCUAAACAUCCUUCUGAAAUUAGUAUUGUAAAUUUGUAAAUGUAACCGUCCUCUAGUUUUCUCUUCAAUCUUCUUUACAGCUAAGUGAGAUUGGUGUUAUUCAGGCCAAGGAAAAACCACCAAGUCCUUUAAAGCAGUAGAGAGUUCGCACUAAAAAAACCUUUGCAACAAUUAUAGAGUCGUAACUAUUUUUGCACAGUGGAAAGGGAUGCUACCAAGCUUUGAAAAGAAGUGGCACAGCUGCCAAUGGAAGUUCAGAACCAUUAUUUCUUUUUGGUACAUGGGGAAUAAAGAAAGCAUAAGGGAUGAGUUUCAUCUCUUAUAAUCAAUCUGAUGAUAUAUGCUUUACUAAAUCAUUCAAAUAAUUGCAGGAAGAAUCUUUCUUUGUCAGUUAUUUUUUAUGAUGUUCUCUCCUUCUACAUCUUCACUAAAAAAAAUUAUUGUGUCACAGGUACUUCUAAUACAAAAAAUAAAUAUUUUUUGUUUUUGUUAAUCUUGUAAAUAUUUUUUUUAAAUUUAUAAUUAUAUCUUUUAAUUAUUUUUAUAAAUAUUAUCGAUUCAUAUUUAAAAUAAAAAAAAAUGAUGCAAAUACCCAACAAAGACAAUACAAUUAUAGUUAUAAACCUCGACAAUAUGCCAGCAGAAGUGAAUGGGCUAGGCGAGGCCCAUUUGAGAGCCGAAUGAGGAAGAAAAUCCAGGUUCGUCAGGAGAAGCCUGGAAGCCCCUUUAGUUUACAAGAAACUUCGACCAUCGGGGCCGAAAUUGCUUGCCCCAGAAAGUACAAGAAUCUUCCUUUCAAUGGUUUAAAUACCCAGUCUAUCCUUUCUCACGCAUCAAGAAAUACAAGAAGCGAAGCAAGAGAAAGGGAAAUACAAGAAGUUGACUCCGAUUCUCAAAAUCCCAAGCAACUUAGAACCAAUUCCAAGAAAUUGAGAAAGAAAAUGUCUCUGAUCCCAAGUUUCUUCGGGAACCGACGAGGCAACAAUUUCGAUCCAUUCUCUGUCGAUGUAUGGGAUCCCUUCAAGAAUUUUCCAUCACUUUCCCAAGAAAACUCCGCCUUCGUCAGCACUCGUGUUGACUGGAAAGAGACCCCGGAAGCCCAUGUGUUCAAGGCUGACCUUCCUGGACUGAAGAAAGAGGAAGUGAAAGUGGAGAUCGAAGAUGACAGGGUGCUUCGAAUCAGCGGGGAGAGGAAUGUUGAGAAGGAAGAGAAGAAUGAUACGUGGCAUCGCGUGGAGCGGAGCUGUGGCAAGUUCUCGAGGAGGUUUAGGUUGCCUGAGAAUGUGAAGAUGGAUCAAAUUUACGCUUCUAUGGAAAAUGGGGUUCUCACCGUAACUAUUCCCAAGGCGGAAUUGAAGAAGCCUGAUAUCAAGACUAUUCAGAUUUCUGGUUGAAGUUUGAGGUUCUGAACAUGAGAAAAUCCUUGCAAUAGUAAUGUUUUAAGGGAUUAUCGUGAGUUAAAUUGGUGUUCGCUGUUAAUAUUGGAAGUUGUCUCAGUCGAUUACGUAAUUACAAUGUGGGUUUUUUUUUUUUCUUGCUAGUAUUACGAUGUGGUUAAAAUGCUGUAAGAAUGUAAUCUGGUAAUGAAAUUAUGAGUUGUUCUUAAUUGUGUGAUCAGCCUACCUAUCUUUUCGUUGAAAUUAACUGUUUUUUAAUGAUCUUUUUAUGGUAAUGUCCUGUCUUAAUCUGAAGCAAAGGGAAAACACAUAGAAUCAAUGUUCAAAAACCCAGGAUAGAAAUUUAAGAAAUCGAAGUACUAGCAAAUUCUUAUGUUGUUUACAUGACCUAUAAAGGAUUUUUUAUGAUUAAUUGGAAGCAACUGAAUCAGAACCAAAAAUUGGCUAAUAUGGGCAAUCAUUACCUGAUUUAGAGCACACUGUUAAUAAUCAAGAGGUUCAAGGGAUGUAUCUUUGUUUGGACUGGAACUGAAAAGUACAAGGGAUGUAUCUGAACUCUGAAGAAGUUGCUUUCAGGAUUUGGUCCUUGAAAUCCGAAAGAGAACUAUCAGUUGCAAAGAUAGAUUGGAGAUUCAUAUUGUCUCUGGAAACUAUGUUGAUAAGAUGUGAAGAAGAUAGCCCAAGAUCUUAAUUUUUUUUUUCUUUUUCAGUUUUUCAGCCUCCAAUAGGACAGAUUCAUAGUAUCAUAAUUACAUUGUUAAAUGCCUAUAUAAGCAACAGUAAUUCAUAUACAAUCCAUGGAAACAUGCCAUUGGCACAUUUUCAGAUACAUUGUGAAUGGAUUGGGGCAGCAUUUAAGGUGCUUGUGACUUGUGAGACUGGUUAGGCCACUAUGACCUCUGCUUGCAUAUGAAGCUCUGACAAAGUAGUCAAGGAUAUCCUACAGUUGUUCCUGUAGCCCUUGCUUCAUCAAAGAAUCUCUGCAUCAAAAUGACAAGGCUUUUUUCCCCCCACUCUAAAAUAACAAUAACAUCAACAAGGAAACAAGUCAUACAUAUAAACCUUAGAUCUCCCUCUUCUAAGGCCAAUGAAAUGUGGCUCAAUUAGUGGAAGAAAAUCUGUGUAGCUUCUUCCUCUAACCUCUCUUCUUUUCCACCAAAUCCUCUUUCGAAAAACAAACAAGUGGUACUUUUAACCCCUUCAACACUUGGGCAUAAGUUGGUUCUUCCACAUGACAUAAUUCGACAACUUAUAAAUGAAUACAUAAAUUUUUUGUAUCAGAAAAAAGGAUUCUUUGAUCAAUAACCAUGCAAAUACCAGCAAAACCUCAUAAAGUAAUUACCUUUUGGCUUUUGAUAAAUCAAGCAAGUAAAUGUAAGACAUGGAAAAUCCAUAAUGUUCUAGGCAUGCCAAAACGUUUUAUUUAAUCAAUUCAGUAGAUAGAUUUCAUAUGAGAUAGAUAAUAUGUAUUAAUUAUUUUCACGAAUGCAUUCUCUUGUAUUUUGAAUUUGGCAAUAAUUUCAGUUAGGCUAGAUCCAAACUUCCAUUUCAGUUUUCAUUGGGCUUCAAGUCCUCCAAUUAUCUCUGUCUAAAGCCCAUAUAGAAUAUGAAUAUUCCGGAGUGUCCAAUGUACUGGAAAAUGAUUUAAACCAAAAAAUAGAAAAAUCUUCUGAAUGCUAGAAUCGUCCCUAGUACUAUAAAAAAACCUUUCAGAGUGCUCUCAACACCCAGACAAACAAAGCAAAGCAUAGAAUUAAGGUAGCUCUCUCGUUUUCCUUACUACAGAAUAUUCUUCUAAUCUCGUUUUCCAUUCCUGAAAAUGUCUGAUUUCAAGCUUCUUUGGCCGUCGCAGCAAUGUCUUUGAUCCUUUCUCUCUUGAUGUUUGGGAUCCUUUCAAGGACUUCCCUUCUCUUCUUUCUCAUUCACCACACUAACUCCAGAAAUUUCAGCAUUUGUCAACACCCGAAUCGACUGGAAGGAAACCCCAGAAGCUCACGUGUUCAAGGCUGAUGUGCCAGGGCUUAAGAAAGAAGAAGUGAAAGUUGAGGUUGAAGAUGACAGGGUGCUUCAGAUAAGCGGAGAGAGGAACAUAGAGAAGGAAGACAAGAACGACAAGUGGCAUCGCGUGGAACACAGCAGUGGGAAGUUCAUGAGAAGGUUCAGGUUGCCUGAGAAUGCCAAGAUGGAUCAGAUCAAAGCUAUGGAAAAUGGGGUGCUUACUGUGACUGAUCCAAAGGUGGAAGUUAAAAAGGCUGUAGAGAUUUCUGGUUAAAAAAUUGAACUUGAGUUUCUAAGCCGUCUAUUUCCUGCGACAGAUUACUCAAAAUAACUACUUCAAGAGAAAAAGAUGUUUGCGAGUAAUGAAGCGAGUGCCUUUUUCUCUGCCAGAUGAGAGUAUUGUACCCAUUGUGUGCAAUUAAAUACAUGUACUACAAUGUUUUCGUAUGAAGUUUGCGUGGUUCUGAGUUUUGCUUUGUAGAAGCUAAAAAAAAUUUUGUUGAUACUUAGCUUUCUUCCCUGUUUACAAAAUUGUGGAUUUUGUAUGGAAUAGUUACUCAUUCAUGAAACUUACAUUUGCACGAUAAAUAUACAAUUGCAUGUCAUAAUGUGCAAAAGCAUAAAUGAAAUAUACACGUGCAGGAACAAAAACUCAGAAGUCAAGACUAAUUCCUUGGGCUUAACAUUUUUCUGAUGUUAGUGAACUUGCAAUCUAUGGCAAAGGCCAAAAUCAGAGUUUGGUUUAAGAGUAAUAAGCCGAUACCAGAUGACAGCGCUCAAUUCAGCCUAUUGGGGCUAAAACAUAUGCCAUUUGCCAAUGACAACAUUUUGCAUUUGCAGGGUCAUGUGAGUCAUAUUGAUUAGAUGUAGAUAGUUGAAACUUUAGAGGAAUUUUAACCAAGAAUGGCUUGACUUUAUUCAUUUAUUUUCUUAAUUCUCUCAUGGAAUUGUAGAAAGAAGACUUCUUAUGGCCUUCAUCUAGCAUAAGCAUUCUUAUGGAACUUUUCUAUCUAUAUGCUUACCAAGCUAUUGACCAUUCCCAAACGUACUUUCCAUAUAUUGGUCACAAGUUUUCCAUCCACCCUUUGAUUCCCGAAACUUGGUUGACAUAUCAUUGCAACUCAUGCACAAAUACUUUCCAGGAUUGAGUUCCAGCCAUAAUGGCUCCCAAAACCUCGUAUGCCUUUAUGAGCUGAUACUUCCUCUUGGUGCCCCACUUCACGAUUAACCCUCCAUCUCUAAUAAUUUCAUUGAAAUAUUUAGGCAAUGAUAUGUGAAGAUGGAUAAGGUGAAAGCUUCCAUUGAAAAUUGAGUUAUUACUGUUACUGUUCCUAAGAAGGAAGUGAAGAAACCUGAUGUCAAAGCCAUCGAGAUUUCAGGUUGAAAACUUGAAGGCUUGAAUGUUUCGAUAUAUUUUUUCUUUGGAUUCAAUUAUAUAUUGCUUCACUAUAUGUCCUAACAUUGUUCUUAAAUUAGUAUUGUAAAUUUGUCAAUGUAACCUUCCUUUAGUUUUCUCUUCAAUCUUCCUUACAGUCAAGUGAGAUGGUGUUAUUCAGGCCAAGGAAAAACCACCAAGUAAAGUCCUUUAAAACAGUAGAGAACUUGCACUAAUAAAACCUUUGCAACAAUUAUAGAGUUGUUAACUAUUUUUGCACAGUGGAAAGAGAUGCUACCAAGCUUUGAAAAGAAGUGGCACAGCUGCCAAUUGAAGUUCAGAACCAUUAUUUCUUUUUGGUACAUGGGGAAUAAAGAAAGCAUAAGGGAUUAAUUUCAUCUCUUAUAAUUAAUCUGAUGAUAUAUGCUUUACUAAAUCAUUCAAAUAAUUGCAGGAAGAACCUCUCACUGUCAGUCAGUCUUCAUUAUGUUCUCUCCUUUUACAUCUUGAUUAAAAAAAAUUAUUAUAUCACAAUUCAUAUACAUUUCUAAUACAAAAAAUAUAUAUUUAUUUGUAAAUCCUGUAAAUAAUUUUUUAAUUUAUAAUUAUAUCUUUUAAUUAUUUUUAUAAAUAUUAUCGAUUCAUGUUUAAAAUUAAAAAAAAUUAUACAACUACCCAACAAAGGCAAUACAAUUAUAGUUAUAAACCUUGGCAAUAUGCCGGCAGAAGUAAAUGGGCUAGGGGAGGCCCAUUUGGGAGCCGAAUGAGGAAGAAAAUCCAGGUUCCUCAGGAGAAGCCUGGAAGUCCCUUGAGUUUACAAGAAACUUCAUCCAUCGAGGCCCAAAAUUGCUUGCCCCAGAAAGUACAUGAAUCUUCCUUUCAAUCGCUUAAAUACCCAGUCCAAAUACAAGAAGCGAAGAAAGAGACAGGGAAACACAAGAAGUUGACUCGAUUCUCAAAAUCCCCAAUCAACUUAGAAGCAAUUCCAAGAAAUUGAGAAAGAAAAUGUCUCUGAUCCCAAGUUUCUUCGGCAACCGGCGAGGCAACAAUUUCGAUCCAUUCUCUGUCGAUGUAUGGGAUCCCUUCAAGAAUUUCCCAUCACUUUCCCAAGAAAACUCCGCCUUCGUCAGCACUCGUGUUGACUGGAAAGAGACCCCGGAAGCGCAUGUGUUCAAGGCCGACCUUCCUGGACUGAAGAAAGAGGAAGUGAAAGUGGAGAUCGAAGAUGACAGGGUGCUUCAAAUCAGCGGGGAGAGGAAUGUUGAGAAGGAAGAGAAGAAUGAUACGUGGCAUCGCGUGGAGCGGAG